GGGGAUGCCUAGGCUCUUGGAGGCGAUGAAGGACGUGUUAAGCUGCGAUAAGCUUCGGGGAGGUGCACAAGACCUUCGAUCCGAAGAUUUCCGAAUGGGGCAACCCAGUAGAUUGAAGAUCUAUUAUCCUAUUUAAUAUAGGAGGCGAACCUGCUGAACUGAAACAUCUAAGUAAGCAGAGGAAGAGAAAACAAAAGUGAUUCCGUAAGUAGUGGCGAGCGAACGCGGAUUAGCCCAAACCAGUGUUGUUGCGGCAAGACUGGGGUUGU
rnacentral:rRNA from 1 species